GGUUAGCAGGGUUAGGGUUAGGGUUAGCAGGGUUAGUCCACAGUAGUUAGAGUAAACCCUGUCCCACAGGUCUGAUGGUGCAGUUGUCUCCACUCACCUUCGUCCUUGGACCUAAUGUGUCUCUAAUGUCGUUUAUUGUUCGUUUGUCGAGUAGGAAAAUGUUCUGGGUUGAAGGACGCAGCUGUUGUAAAAUGAUGUACAAGUGCCUGUUUGUAAAACUCCGCUCUAUGUUUACAGUAGAACCCUACGAGUCCGAACUGGGACUGGACCUGGUACUGGGGUCCAAGGUCACGUCUGUAAGAAUACUAACUGGACUGACUGUUAGAAGAGUGUGUUUCUGUGCAGUGGGAGGUCAGAGUAUUCAGCUGUUCAGCCACGUAUGGGUUGGACUGCACCUACACACACA